CCUACGGGAGGCAGCAGUGGGGAAUAUUGGACAAUGGGCGAAAGCCUGAUCCAGCCAUGCCGCGUGUGUGAAGAAGGCCUUCGGGUUGUAAAGCACUUUCAGUGGGGAAGAAAGCCUUGGGGCUAAUACCCUCGAGGAAGGACAUCACCCACAGAAGAAGCACCGGCUAACUCCGUGCCAGCAGCCGCGGUAAUACGGAGGGUGCGAGCGUUAAUCGGAAUUACUGGGCGUAAAGCGCGCGUAGGCGGUCUGAUAAGCCGGUUGUGAAAGCCCCGGGCUCAACCUGGGAACGGCAUCCGGAACUGUCAGGCUAGAGUGCAGGAAAGGAAGGUAGAAUUCCCGGUGUAGCGGUGAAAUGCGUAGAGAUCGGGAGGAAUACCAGUGGCGAAGGCGGCCUUCUGGACUGACACUGACGCUGAGGUGCGAAAGCGUGGGUAGCAAACAGGAUUAGAUACCCUGGUAGUC
rnacentral:rRNA from 1 species